GUCAGUAACCCAGCCCUAAAGGGACUGGGCUUGCAAGAGUAAUCAAGCAAGCCGUACUGACCAGACCACCCUGAGCGGCUUGCCCUGAGCGAAGUCGAAGGGAGUCGAAGGGUAGCCGUUAUUUGAGUCACGACACCUCGGAAUGCGUUCGCGCCAGCGUGCCGUCAGGCAUAGCUAGUUCCCUGCUCUGUCAUUUGCAAUUAAACAGUUUUAAGGUCACUGAAACAGUGUUGCAAGUCUAAAAAGCUCUUAUAACUGGUCGUUCGCGCCAGCGUGCCGGAGGCAUCUAGCUAACAUUAC
rfam:Aphanizomenon flos-aquae 2012/KM/D3 spades_63_len_T:24322, whole genome shotgun sequence.